CCCGUGUUGGCCCCGCAGCUGGCUAUGACGGUCACCACAAGAGGCAGAUGGUUGAAGUGCACCACCUGAGGGACAGGGAAAACUGCGGUGAUGGUCCACAUUGGUUCAGUAAGGUUAGGGAAGGUUAGGUUAGGUUAGGGUUUUGGUUGGGUAAGGUUAGGGAAGGUUAGGAAAGGUUAGGGUUUUGGUUGGGUAAGGUUAGGGAAGGUUAGGUUAGAUUAGGUUAGGUUAGGGUUUUGGUUGGGUAAGGUUAGGGAAGGUUAGGUUAGGUUAGGGUUUUGGUUGGGUAAGGUUAGGGAAGGUUAGGAAAGGUUAGGGUUUUGGUUGGGUAAGGUUAGGGAAGGUUAGGUUAGAUUAGGUUAGGUUAGGGUUUUGGUUGGGUAAGGUUAGGGAAGGUUAGGUUAGGUUAGGGUUUUGGUUGGGUAAGGUUAGGGAAGGUUAGGAAAGGUUAGGGUUUUGGUUGGGUAAGGUUAGGUUAGAUUAGGUUAGGUUAGGGUUUUGGUUGGGUAAGGUUAGGUUAGAUUAGGUUAGGUUAGGGUUUUGGUUGGGUAAGGUUAGGGAAGGUUAGGAAAGGUUAGGGUUUUGGUUGGGUAAGGUUAGGGUUUUGAUUCGGUAAGGUUAGGUAAGGUUAGGGUUUUGGUUCAGUAAGGUUAGGUUAGGAAAGGUUAGGGAAGGUUAGGUUAGGUUAGGAAAGGUUAGGUUAGGUUAGGAAAGGUUAGAGAAGGUUAGGUUAGGAUAGGAAAGGUUAGGGUUUCGGUUCAGUAAAGUUAGGGAAAGUUAGGUUAGGAUAGGAAAGGUUAGGGAAGGUUAGGGUUUUGGUUCAGUAAGGUUAGGGAAAGUUAGGGUUUUGGUUCAAUAAGGUUGGGGAAGAUUUGGGAAGGUUAGGUUAGGAUAGGAAAGGUUAGGGAAGGUUAGGGUUUUGGUUCAGUAAGGUUAGGGAAGGUUAGGGUUUUGGUUCGGUAAGGUUAGGGUUUUGGUUCAGUAAGGUUAGGGAAGGUUAGGUUAGGUUAGGUUAGGAAAGGUUAGGGAAGGUUAGGGUUUUGGUUGGGUUAGGUUAGGAAAGGUUAGGGAAGGUUAGGGUUUUGGUUGGGUUAGGUUAGGAAAGGUUGGGGAAGGUUAGGGUUUUGGUUGGGUUAGGUGAGGAAAGGUUGGGGAAGGUUAGGGUUUUGGUUGGGUUAGGUUAGGAAAGGUUAGGGCUUUGGUUGGGUUAGGUUAGGAAAGGUUGGGGAAGGUUAGGGUUUUGGUUGGGUUAGGUUAGGAAAGGUUAGGGUUUUGGUUGGGUUAGGUUAGGAAAGGUUGGGGAAAGUUAGGGUUUUGGUUGGGUUAGGUUAGGAAAGGUUAGGGCUUUGGUUGGGUUAGGUUAGGAAAGGUUGGGGAAGGUUAGGGUUUUGGUUGGGUUAGGUGAGGAAAGGUUGGGGAAGGUUAGGGUUUUGGUUGGGUUAGGUGAGGAAAGGUUGGGGAAGGUUAGGGUUUUGGUUGGGUUAGGUGAGGAAAGGUUGGGGAAGGUUAGGGUUUUGGUUGGGUUAGGUGAGGAAAGGUUGGGGAAGGUUAGGGUUUUGGUUGGGUUAGGUUAGGAAAGGUUAGGGUUUUGGUUGGGUUAGGUUAGGAAAGGUUGGGGAAGGUUAGGGUUUUGGUUGGGUUAGGUUAGGAAAGGUAAGGGAAGGUUAGGGUUUUGGUUGGGUUAGGUUAGGAAAGGUUAGGGCUUUGGUUGGGUUAGGUUAGGAAAGGUUGGGGAAGGUUAGGGUUUUGGUUGGGUUAGGUUAGGAAAGGUUAGGGUUUUGGUUGGGUUAGGUUAGGAAAGGUUAGGGUUUUGGUUGGGUUAGGAAAGGUAAGGGAAGGUUAGGGUUUUGGUUGGGUUAGGUUAGGUAAGGGAAGGUUAGGGUUUUGGUUGGGUUAGGUUAGGAAAGGGAAGGUUAGGGUUUUGGUUGGGUUAGGUUAGGUAAGGUAAGGGAAGGUUGGGGUUUUGGUUGGGUUAGGUUAGGUAAGGUAAGGGAAGGUUAGGGUUUUGGUUGGGUUAGGUUAGGAAAGGUAAGGGAAGGUUAGGGUUUUGGUUGGGUUAAGUUACAAAAUGAACUUGUGUGAACUAGCAUGAACACACCACAAGAACCUACACAAGAAGAGACAGAUGUAAGAAGCGACAAGGGCUGGACUGCUAUACUGAACAAAAUCACGUGCAAAAACAAUAGUAAAGUUAACCUGGUAGCAGCAAUGGGCCAAAUUUGUGGUUUCACCGUGUAGCAGCAAUGGGCCAAAUUUGUGGUUUCACCGUGUAGCAGCGACGGGCCAAAUUUGUGGUUUCACCGUGUACCAGCGACGGGCCAAAUUUGUGGUUUCACCGUGUAGCAGCAACGGGCCAAAUUUGUGGUUUCAUCGUGUACCAGCGACGGGCCAAAUUUUUGCCAUGAUAUAUACCCCCCAAAAAAAUAGAUGAUGCAUAAACUGAUCACCAAUGCGUUGAUAUAUAUUAUGGAAUGGUUUGCGUGAGUGAUGAUUUUUUCUCAUUUUUCUUGCUUAGAGGUUUAGUACGUACAUAUAUACGUACCUCUUAGGGAAGUGUUUAGUACGUAUAUAUACGCAAGCUCUUUUGAGGGCUUAUACGCCCUUUAUUUUUGUUUGUGUAUGUAACAUUGUUCAUUGACAGUAAAGAGGAAUAAUUUGACAAGUCUUCGUAUUUUUAAAUGGAUGUUAAAGGGCAUUUCUGUACAUUUGUCCGCAUUCCAACCAAAAUCAUUAUACAAGAAGGUAAGUUACUUCUAGGUAAUUACUCCUUGAUUCUAUAAUCAGUAAGGCAUGUAGAAUUGUAAAUUAUGGUUCAGAGUAAUCAGAAAUGAAAACUUAUCAUCGGAAGCUUCAUAGUGUUUUGUUGAACUUUGAGAAGUACGGUUGUAGUACAGACGGCCUUGAAGCAAACGGUGUUGCCUGAUGCGCAUCCAAUCAUUUUCUUGUACUUACAAUUCCUGUUUAUUUUUUUAGGUUUUUGUGAUGUAAAGAAGUACUUAUACAUUACUCACACUUUAGGGUUGUGAGAAGUGUUUAUAAUGGAAAGAAUAUAGGCUCUAAAAAUAUUUAAGAUAAAUUUCCCUUUCCUGGCAUGAUGUUGUUAGCUCUGGGAUGGAGACGAACACUCUAGGGUUCCAUUCCUCACAUAAAAAUAAUAUAUAUCAAAUAAUUUGUAAUUUUUUUUAACAUUUUAAGGGGCAAAUAAAAAAAAUUACAACCUGGCACGACCCCUAUCGAUGACAAAAGACGACACUGUACGGGUUAAGAAACGUGAUCCCGAAACUGAUUUCUCUUUUUGGCCACUCUACUCUAUUUAGGAGCAGUAAGUAGCGGGCUUUUUUUUUCAUAUUGUUUUCUUUUUUGUUACGCCCUUGCACUGUUUCCUCUGCUGUAAAAAAAAAAAAAAAAGCUACCGGGUUAAGGAAAUAAACAUCAGGGAGGACAGAGUGGACGAUCAUCUAGUGGGGGAGACUUGUAACCAGUCCAACCCCAUGAGCGAAAAUCAGAACCUUAAACAAAAAGGAGACAGUAAAGCUUGACCUGACCUCCAACCA